GAAAUAUGAUGUUCACGAAAGAGCUGCUAACUCUUUCUCUAGCGGUUGAAUUCCGUUAAUAUUUCU
rnacentral:tRNA from 1 species